UACGGAGGGGGGCUAGCGUUGUUCGGAAUUACUGGGCGUAAAGCGCACGUAGGCGGCUUUGUAAGUUAGAGGUGAAAGCCCCGGGGCUCAACUCCGGAACUGCCUUUAAGACUGCAUCGCUUGAAUCCGGGAGAGGUGAGUGGAAUUCCGAGUGUAGAGGUGAAAUUCGUAGAUAUUCGGAAGAACACCAGUGGCGAAGGCGGCUCACUGGACCGGGUUCUGACGCUGAGGCGCGAAAGCGUGGGGAGCAAACGGG
rnacentral:rRNA from 1 species